rnacentral:lncRNA from 1 species
UCUCCCACCUUGGCCUCCUUAAGUUCUGAUUUUACAGGUGUGAGCCAUCGUGCCCAGCCAGGCUGUGACUUUUAACAGGGGAUUGUUUCUUUUUUUCCUGCCAUGGUUGCAAUAGAAGUCAGAUUGUAAGAGCAUAAAGAAGCCAUAUUAGUGUGGAGACAAAAGUGACUCCACCUUAAAUGCUAAUCUGCUAUAAUGAUUUUUGAGUAUCCUCAGUCCCAUGAAUGCCUCCUGAUUCCUACUUUAUUUACUGUCCCUAGAGAAAGAACAUGUCAAUCUUGAUGUUAUCCCACAGUUUACAGACUAUGAUGAAUAUAUAGCAUUGUUGCCUGUUCUGGAGGAUUGCCUUUAAUUAUCUUGCAUAGAGAGCACUUAUACCCUUUCACUGUAGUAUAUAAGCUCUGGGUUGGGAGGUAACAGGUUUAGAGAUCUACCUGUCUUGCUGCUGCCCAAGACCACACUUCCGUCUGUAAGUUACCUCCAUCACUGACAAACUGGAUUUUUCUACCUCAUUCUUUGAUUUCUCAGCUCCUCUGGCAUUUGGGGGGAACUUUGCAUAUAUGGUGGCCCUUUCACAGAACAGUCAGCAUUCUCCAGAGUAACAGAGAGAUUAUAGUAAUUGGCCCAUGUGAUUAUGGAGGCUGAGAAGUCCCAUGAUCUGCAAGCUGGAGAACCAUAGAAGUUGGUGGUGUAGUUCAGUCUGAGUUUGAAGGUCUGUGAACCAGGAGUGCUGAUGUCCGAGAGGAGGAGAAGAUGGCUGUUCAGCUCAAGCAGAAAGCUAAUUCACUGUUCUCUGCCUCUUUGUUUCAUUCAAGCCCUCAAGGGAUGGUAUAAUGCCUACCCAAAUGGGUGAGAGCGUCUUUUUUACUCAGUCUACCAAUUCAGAUACAAGUCUCUUCUGUAAACACCUUCACAGACAUACCCAGAAAUAAUGUUUUACCAGAUAUUUGGGCAUCCUUUAGCCCAGUCAAACUGACACAUAAAAUUAACUGUCAUAGAAGGACUACCUCGUUAGCAACUAAGAACAAUGGGACUUAGAACAAAGACCUCAUCAGGUAUUAAAUUGGAAGAAGAUACAUUAAUGAAAAGAAAUGUUAUGGUACUGUUGAAGAUGGAGGCAGCAAGACCCUCCGAGGCUAUAGAAAAAAUAGCGUAAUAAACCCAGAAAGGCUCUUCAAGAUAUCUAUGUUAGUGUUCUACCUAACACAGCAAUAAUUUCUUUGCAAAGCCCCUGGCAGAUUAUUUAGUUUUGCUUGGAUCCUUAAGGUGAUGAAGUGUUCCCUUUUUAGCAAGGUAAAUGAAUCUGUUUUUGGACAGAUGUAACUCUUAGAAAUUUCUUCCUUGUACUGCUAAAGCAAGGUCUGUUUCCCUGUAGCUUCCAUAUGGUUUCCUUAAGUGAUAAACAGACUGACUGUAAUAUAUCUUUCCUAUGACAGCCCUCCAAAUAUCUGAAGUAUGUCCCUCCUGUUUUCUUUUUUUAAGUUAAGCAUCCCAGAUACUUCAAUUUAUAUCUCCUCACAAGAUUGCCAGACCUCUUAAUAUUUUGGCUGCCCAAUCAGAAUAAAGUUGUUGAACUCUAGUUUGCCAGUGUCAAUUUUAAAAAGUAAUGUCCAGAAGGAAUUUUGUAUUUUGCAUGUAGUCUGACUGGAACAGAUAAGAGACAGUGAAAUUAAUUUUGUUAGAUAUUUUACACUUGUUAAUUGGACUCUUGGCCUAAACUGAACUGUAAUGAAUGUACCUGUCUGGUAUUUAUCUAAAUUGCCAUCAAACCAGGUUUAGUCUAUUCUGUAGCUGAAAAAAUUAAUUUUAUUUGAUAAAUUUUACCUUGUUCGUUUUGAUCCAUUCAUUCAUUUAUUCAUUCAUUGUUUCAACAAAUACUUUUUGAGGUCAGCAUUGUGGCAGUCUUCGUUAUGCCCUGAGAUUACCAGAAAGUACAGGUUAUUCCAAUUAGUUGAACAACUUGAGAUCAUUUUAAAAUGUAAAUCUAAUAUUCAACAUUGUUAUUUUUACAUCACCUGUCAUCUAUAAAUUUCAUAAACAUGAUUGUAUCUUUAUUCAGUUAAUAACAAGAUUAAAAAAUCAAGGACAUAUUGUGAUAAGCUGGUGAUUUUGAAUCAUCAGGAUUCUAGAUUUAAAAGUUUUUGGAGACAGAACAUUUAACGGUGUGAUUUAUUUAUUUUAUAGAAGAGAGUUAAUAUAUAACUUAGAGUUUGAUUGUCUUAAAUACCGUAUUUCUCUUUUUGUCCCAGGGGAAGAUCACAGAAUGCUGCCUUGCUUGUGGAAUUAUAGAAUUCAAAUCUAUCAGUUUUAUAGGGAGUAAUUUUUCAAGACUUACUCUUAAGGAAUUCAUACUGAUUCCUAAUAAUCAUCAUUUUCUUAAUCUAAAUCCUACAAAGCCAUUCAUUUAAUCAUUUGUUUUAGAAUGUUUCCUGCUUUCCUGUAUGUUUCUUUUUCUUCUUACUUUAAAGCAAGGUUUAAACAUCCCUUUUGAUAUUUUUAGGUUUUGUCGGGGUGUAGGGAGCAAGGUUAUUCUCACUGUGACCUUUGCCCUGCAGCAGUAAAGCAAUAACUAGCAUCAUUUCUGCUUUGUAUUGUUUUAUCAUUUCUACAUCAUGUUUGUAGGCUGACGAAUGAAGUCAAAUGCUUAUAAAUGCUUUGUAAACUAUAAAAUUCUCCAUUUAUAUAUAUUUCUGCCCCACUUAUUUCUCAUUAAUGUUACUUGUGAUUAUAUUGUCAGAAUUCCUUAGAGCCACAUUUUUGUGAAUAUUGUGCUGCAAAUAUAUUUAUUUGUUUGUAAGCACUAAGUAUUCUUUUGUUCCCAAGAAAACAAAUUCUAUAUGAGUCUUUUCUGGUUCUGUUUUUCUUUUGUUUCAAUCUCUUCACAAUAUUGUAUUUAGAGCCAGAUUUAUCAGCCCCAGGCAUCUCUUGCUUUCCUGUGUCUACUUCUUCACAGUAUAACUCUCAGGCAAAAUGACAAAAAGGCAAAUUCACAAAGGAACCAGUGAGUGUUCUUGUCAGUGCUUGGGUUCCAUUCUCAAAUAAGCUGAAAGUUCUUCUAUUUCAUCAACAGAAUGUGAUUUAAAGGGAUAUAUUGCCAGCUUGUAUCACUGCUAAACAGUGGUGUGUCACUGUAGAGCAAAUAGUCACAAGAAUACAUUCUCAGGAAAUAUACAGUUAUAUCUAUGCUUUCUGCCAAGCAAGGAGAAACGCAGACUGGCUCAAAUCUCCAGAAACGACUUGCAUCCUUCUUUAUUUCUUACACCUUUUCUUUUCUUCAUCUCCUAUUUCUUCUUUCCCCAUGUCCUCCUCCUGCUUUCACAAUUUCCUUCUCCUCCUUAUUCUCCUUCUCUUUCACCUCCCCGUCUUCUUCCUUACGCGUUGAUUAUGCCAGUAAGAUGAUAUCUUGUAAAGAAAUGGAAUACUUUUAGCAGAUGCCACACUAUAGCCACAGUAGUGACAUCUGGAAUUUGUCAAAAGCCACAGUUGGCAUCCCUAAAAUUCACCUGCCUGGAUUCUGUUCUGAGAAGAUUGUGUCUGCAAGAAAGUCUGGCCAAGUUCCUAAAAGAGGCAAAAUCAAGGAUAGAUGGCAUCUAUCCUAGUUCACGUGAAGGUUAAAAGCGUCUUCAGAUCCCCUGAAAGAUUUUGGAGAAUUUCCUGAUUGGCACUUUGAAAACUGCUGCUGUAACCAAUUCUGUGAUGACUGCUGACUUGAUGUAAGGUGAAUGCAGAAAGUCUCCUGCUAGGACUCUCCCUGGCAUUGCCUCAUUCACAAAAAAUUUCAGACACUAUAUAUAUCAAUUCAGAUAAUUCAUUCAGUUAAAUGUUUAUUAAAUAUAUUUUCAAAUUGUUUAUUGAUAUAUAAUUAUUCUAUCAAGGACACAUAUAAAAUAAUUAGGUAUAGAAAAAUAUAAGAAAGAAAAGGAAAUCAAGAUUAGGAAAAAAUAACAAUGCAGAUAUUCAGACCAUAUAGUACUAUAAAGUUGGCUCAUUAUUUUGCUAAUGUGUUUACUGAGCACCUGUUCUAGACAUAGGAAAUGCAUGGAUGACUACAAUUGCCCCAGUUGUUAUCUCAUUGAGGUUACAUUAUAUUGUACUUGUAAAAUAUGCACCCCCACUCAUGGCUUUAGGCAAUACAAAUGAACAAAAACAAAAACCAGCCAAACAAAUAUAUCAGUUAAAAGAUCAUUGACCAAAAUGUUAAAUGGAGUACUCUGAGGAAGCAAAGAGUUUUGGAGAUAUGCAAAAUAAUUUUCUUAUAGUACAUUUCCUAAUUGACUUUAUAAAGCUGUUUCUUAUAGUCUUCAUUAAUGAAAGUUAAAGAGGCAUGAGAACAAAGUGCUGCUGAGAAUAUUAUAUCAGUUAACUUUUGCGAAAACAAAAGUAUAAUCCAUUUGUUGCCAAUAUUAUCAGACUGUGAUUCUAAAGUGAAACUACCUUUCUUUUUUACGUCCAUGUUUUCAUAGUAUAAGCCCCUCCUGGUCCAUUAAAAAUGUAGUACUGCCAACCUAAAGUUAGUACCAGGGCUUCACCUUAUACCAAGAGAGCUGAGAAAUGUUGGGGAGCACAGAUCAUUUGAUGCAUAGUGAAUACCUGAUAUAGCUGGUAGUUUGAAGUAGUAGCUCCUUAGAUGAUUUUUUUUUCCAGAAGGGGUAAGAAUGUUAUGUGUUAUAGAUGGAAUUCUGUCCUUCCAAAUGUAUAUGCUGAAGUCCUAACUCCCUGUACCUUAAAAUGUGACUGUAUUUGUAGAUAGCGUUUUUAAACAGUAAGUAGGUUAAAAUGAGGUCAUUAGGGUACUCUAAUCCAAUAUGCCUGUUGUCCUUAUAAAAAGGUGUGCUUAAGACACAGACACCUACAGAAGGAAGACCAUGUGAAAAUACAGGGAGAAGAAAGCUAUCUGUAAGCCAAGAAGUGAGUAAGGCCUCAGAAGAAAGCAAAGCCUGCCAACACCUGGAUCUUGGAUUCUGGCCUCCAGAAUCAUAAGAAAAUACGUUUCUGUUGUUUAAGCUACUUGGUCUGUGGUACUUGGUUACAGUAGCCCUAGCAAACUCAUAUGAUUCUGUGAUGAGGGGAAAGAACUGUUGAAAGCAUUUAGUUAUAAAUAAUGAAUCAGGAAACAAAGGGCCAAUAAUGACAUAAUGAACUCCUUAAGACAAAAUAGACUGAAGCAUGAUUAUAGGUCAAGAGGAACACAUAUUUGAUAAGGAAGAGCCUGGGGAAUAAUUGAUGGGAAUCUUGGAGUAGACCAGAAGAGAGAGGAUCAGGAGUAGAGACUGGAGGGAGACGACCCAUUCAUUCCUGGAGGAAGGGAAGCUGAAAUUGAAAUGUUAAAUUAAAAAUGGACAGGAAUGAUCUCCGUUCCAAGAUGACCGAAUAAGAACAGCUCCGGUGUGCAGCUCCCAGUGUGAUCGACACAGAAGACAGGUGAUGUCUGCAUUUCCAAUGGAAGCACCUGGUUCAUCUCACUGGGACUGGUUGGACAGUGGGUGCAGCCCAUGGAGGGUGAGCCAAAGCAGGUUGGGGUGUCACCUCACCUGGGAGGUGCAAGGGGUCGGGGGAUUCCCCUUUCAUAGCCAAGGGAAGUGGUGACAGACUGUUCCUGGAAAAACUGGACACUCCCGCCCAAAUACUGCACUUUUCCCAUGAUCUUAGCAACUGGCAGACCAGGAGAUGCCCUCCUGUGCCUGGCUUGGUGGGUACCGCCCCCAUGGAACCUUGCUCACUGUCAGUGCAGCAGUCUGAGAUCGACCUGCAAGGCAGCAGCCUGCUGGCGGGAGGGGAGUCUGCAAUUGCUGAGGCUUGACUAGGUAAACAAAGCUGCCAGGAAGUUCAAACUGGGUGG